CCUACGGGUGGCAGCAGUAGGGAAUAUUGCACAAUGGGGGAAACCCUGAUGCAGCGACGCCGCGUGAGUGAAGAAGUAAUUCGUUAUGUAAAGCUCUAUCAGCAGGGAAGAAAAUGACGGUACCUGAGUAAGAAGCACCGGCUAACUACGUGCCAGCAGCCGCGGUCAUACGGAGGGGGCAAGCGUUAUCCGGAUUUACUGGGGGUAAAGGGAGCGUAGACGGCAGUGCAAGUCUGGAGUGAAAGGGGGGUGCUCAACCCCCGGAAUGGUCAGGAAACUGUACGGCUGGAGUGCAGGAGAGGUAAGUGGAAUUCCUAGUGUAGCGGUGAAAUGCGUAGAUAUUAGGAGGAACACCAGUGGCGAAGGCGGCGUACUGGACUGUAACAGACGUUGAGGCUCGAAAGCGUGGGGAGCAAACAGGAUUAGAUACCCGAGUAGUC
rnacentral:rRNA from 1 species